UACGUAGGGUGCAAGCGUUGUCCGGAAUUAUUGGGCGUAAAGAGCUCGUAGGCGGUCUGUCGCGUCGGCUGUGAAAACUCGGGGCUCAACCCCGAGCCUGCAGUCGAUACGGGCAGACUAGAGUUCGGUAGGGGAGACUGGAAUUCCUGGUGUAGCGGUGAAAUGCGCAGAUAUCAGGAGGAACACCGGUGGCGAAGGCGGGUCUCUGGGCCGAAACUGACGCUGAGGAGCGAAAGCGUGGGGAGCGAACAGG
rnacentral:rRNA from 1 species